rnacentral:rRNA from 1 species
UACGGGGGGAGCAAGCGUUGUUCGGAUUUACUGGGCGUAAAGGGCGCGUAGGCGGCGCAACAAGUCACUUGUGAAAUCUCCGGGCUUAACCCGGAGCGGCCAAGUGAUACUGUCGUGCUAGAGUCCGGAAGGGGCGAGUGGAAUUCCUGGUGUAGCGGUGAAAUGCGCAGAUAUCAGGAGGAACACCAAUUGCGAAGGCAGCUCGCUGGGACGUUACUGACGCUGAGACGCGAAAGCGUGGGGAGCAAACAGG